CUGAUGCAGCAACGCCGCGUGCGGGAUGACGGCCUUCGGGUUGUAAACCGCUUUCAGCUCCGACGAAGCGCAAGUGACGGUAGGAGCAGAAGAAGGACCGGCCAACUACGUGCCAGCAGCCGCGGUGAUACGUAGGGUCCGAGCGUUGUCCGGAAUUAUUGGGCGUAAAGGGCUUGUAGGCGGUUUGUCGCGUCGGAAGUGAAAACUCAGGGCUUAACCCUGAGCCUGCUUCCGAUACGGGCAAACUAGAGGAAUGCAGGGGAGAAUGGAAUUCCUGGUGGAGCGGUGGAAUGCGCAGAUAUCAGGAGGAACACCAGUGGCGAAGGCGGUUCUCUGGGCAUUUCCUGACGCUGAGAAGCGAAAGCGUGGGGAGCAAACAGGCUUAGAUACCCUGGUAGUCCACGCCGUAAACGGUGGGCACUAGGUGUGGGACUCAUUCCACGAGUUCCGUGCCGUAGCUAACGCAUUAAGUGCCCCGCCUGGGGAGUACGGCCGCAAGGCUAAAACUCAAAGGAAUUGACGGGGGCCCGCACAAGCGGCGGAGCAUGCGGAUUAAUUCGAUGCAACGCGAAGAACCUUACCUAGGUUUGACAUAUACCGGAAAGCUGCAGAGAUGUAGCCCCCGCAAGGUCGGUA
rnacentral:rRNA from 1 species